rnacentral:rRNA from 1 species
UACGAGGGGUGCAAGCGUUGUUCGGAAUUAUUGGGCGUAAAGGGUAGGUAGGUGGUCUCAUUUGUCGGGGGUGAAAUCCUUGGGCUUAACUCAAGAAGUGCCCCCGAAACGGUGAGACUAGAGUCUUGGAGAGGGUUGCGGAAUUCCCGGUGUAGCGGUGGAAUGCGCAGAUAUCAGGAGGAACACCAAUAGCGAAGGCGGCUCACUGGCCCGGUACUGACGCUGAGGUGCGAAAGCGUGGGGAGCAAACAGG